AGUUUAUGGUCUCAAUCGCUAGUUUCAAGUCUUCUUCAAUACAGUAUGAUGUUCAUUUAGUAAAUUAUGGUCCCAUUUAGAGUCAAAUAGACCAUAAAGCAGGGGAUGCUUUGGGGCGGGGCAACUUUGUGAUUGACAACUUUAACCAUUUCACGAUGUUGUACGGUUUGGGAGUUGUUCCGUGUUUCCAU